rnacentral:rRNA from 1 species
CGGCGGACGGGUGAGUACACGUGGAUAACUUACCUAUAAGACUGGGAUAACUUCGGGAAACCGGAGCUAAUACCGGAUAAUAUAUUGAACCGCAUGGUUCAAUAGUGAAAGACGGUUUUGCUGUCACUUAUAGAUGGAUCCGCGCCGCAUUAGCUAGUUGGUAAGGUAACGGCUUACCAAGGCAACGAUGCGUAGCCGACCUGAGAGGGUGAUCGGCCACACUGGAACUGAGACACGGUCCAGACUCCUACGGGAGGCAGCAGGC